rnacentral:tRNA from 1 species
GGAGAGGUGUCAGAGUGGUCUAAUGUGCACGCUUGGAAAGUGUGUGUUGUGAAAGCAACCGCAGGUUCAAAUCCUGUCCUCUCCGCCA